GGCGAGGUGGUGUAGUGGUAGCACACGUGAGGGGUGCUCACGAGAGGGAUGUUCGAUUCAUUCUCUCGCCA
rnacentral:tRNA from 1 species